GAUGAACGCUAGCGGCAGGCUUAAUACAUGCAAGUCGAGGGGCAGCGCGGGUAGCAAUACCUGGCGGCGACCGGCAAACGGGUGCGGAACACGUACGCAACCUUCCCAUAACUGGUGAAUAGCCCUCCGAAAGGAGGAUUAAUACACCGUAACAUAACGAAGAGGCAUCUUUUUGUUAUUAUAGUAGCAAUACGGUUUUGGAUGGACGUGCGCUUGAUUAGGUAGUUGGCGGGGUAACGGCCCACCAAGCCUGAGAUCAGUAACUGGUGUGAGAGCACGACCAGUCACACGGGCACUGAGACACGGGCCCGACUCCUACGGGAGGCAGCAGUAAGGAAUAUUGGUCAAUGGACGAAAGUCUGAACCAGCCAUGCCGCGUGAAGGAUUAAGGCCCUCUGGGUUGUAAACUUCUUUUAUCUGGGACGAAAAAAGGUCAUUCUGGCUCACUUGACGGUACCAGAGGAAUAAGCACCGGCUAACUCCGUGCCAGCCGCCGCCGUAA
rnacentral:rRNA from 1 species